UACGUAGGGUGCGAGCGUUGUCCGGAAUUACUGGGCGUAAAGGGCGCGUAGGCGGCCUGCUAAGUCGAACGUGAAAUCCCUGGGCUCAACCCAGGAACUGCGUCCGAUACUGGUUGGCUUGAAUCCGGGAGAGGGAUGUGGAAUCCAGGUGUAGCGGUGAAAUGCGUAGAUAUCUGGAGGAACACCGGUGGCGAAGGCGGCGAUCUGGGUAGAUACUGACGCUGAGGAGCGGAAAGCGUGGGGAGCGAACAGG
rnacentral:rRNA from 1 species